AUGCCUAAGCCACUUCCAGCUGACCGAGACACACGAAUAAACGCUUGCUGUGUGCACUGAGGCACGUAGUUGUUGUUACGCAGCAGUGCUGUCUUCCUAGGUAGCUGAUCCAGAGGGAAACAGACUGCAGAGCUGCACAGGAGGCAGAGCCAACAGAAGUGACAACAGGGAGUCGGUGGGAGCUCCUGAAGCAGGACAGUGACAACGCGAUGAAGGAGGUGUCCUGAACCCAACGCUCUCGUCACCAAAUGCCUUCCCUGCUGUGGGGCUCUCCCAGGUGAGGAAACUGA
rnacentral:lncRNA from 1 species